rnacentral:rRNA from 1 species
CUACGGGCCGCAGCAGCGGGGAAUAUUGCACAAUGGGCGCGAGCCUGAUGCAGCCAUGCCGCGUGUAUGAAGAAGGCCUUCGGGUUGUAAAGUACUUUCAGCGGGGAGGAAGGGAGUAAAGUUAAUACCUUUGCUCAUUGACGUUACCCGCAGAAGAAGCACCGGCUAACUCCGUGCCAGCAGCCGCGGUAAUACGGAGGGUGCAAGCGUUAAUCGGAAUUACUGGGCGUAAAGCGCACGCAGGCGCUUUGUUAAGUCAGAUGUGAAAUCCCCGAGCUCAACCUGGGAACUGCAUCUGAUACUGGCAAGCUAGAGUCUCGUAGAGGGGGGUAGAAUUCCAGGUGUAGCGGUGAAAUGCGUAGAGAUCUGGAGGAAUACCGGUGGCGAAGGCGGCCCCCUGGACGAAGACUGACGCUCAGGUGCGAAAGCGUGGGGAGCAAACAGGAUUAGAUACCCUAGUAGUC